rnacentral:lncRNA from 1 species
CCUGCGGCCAUGCUGGGCUAGGACAAGAGGCAGAGGCAGAGAGACAGAGAGGAGCCACCCUAAGAAGAGAGACCAGAUACCCUUUUCUCAUCCUUUGAGUUCAACAGAUGUCUCUUCUGGUUGCAAGUGACAGAAGCCCACACAGAAAAGGCUCAGACCAAAGAGAAAUUUAUGGGCUCCUGAAACCGUAUGUCAGAGAGAGAUUGGGCCAGGGCUGGGAUGUGACCCCGGCUCUUUCUUGGUUUCUCCUCGCCGCUUCUCUCUCUCCUGCAGCCUCACAGUCUCAGACAGGAUUCUUUCAAGAAUUGCAAACUUGGCUGAAGACCUUCCUGUCCCCUUUCUUACCUCCCAUGUACAGGAUGGGGGUGAUGAUCCCACUUCUCUGACUCUCACCCAGAAGUUAGGAACUCCUUAAGGUCGGAAUUCCAGCAUAGGCCUCACUGGGCUAAAAUCAAGGCAUCUGAAUGGUGGUGCUUCUCUCCGGAGGCUCCAGGAGAAGAUGCUUCCUUGCUUAUUUGGGUUGCUGGGAGAAUUCAGCUUCUUUCAUUGUAAAACUGAGGUCCUCUUUUCCCCGCUGGCUGUCGGCUAAGGACCUUUUUUUUUUUUUGAGACGGAGUCUCGCUCUG